rnacentral:pre_miRNA from 1 species
GAGUCUAUCGUGUCUCAAAGCGCGCUCUCAGAUGCUUUGGCACAUGUUAGGCCGGC